rnacentral:tRNA from 1 species
CUGAGCGUAGCGUAAUUUGGCAUCGCGCCUGGUUUGGAACCAGGAGAUUGCGGGUUCAAAUCCUGUCGCUCAGA